rfam:Sphingobacterium sp. 21, complete genome.
UAAAAUGUGGAAUGAUUUGCGUGCCAAUCAAAUGGCGGGAUUGCAACCACAGUAAAAAAGUGCUAAUGAUUGCCUU